rnacentral:lncRNA from 1 species
GUCGGUUAAGCCUCCGUCCUUGCUGUGAGCUGUGGUGUCCAUCACAGAUGAAGCUCCGAUCCCACGUGGCUAUGGCUGUGGUGUAGGCUGGCAGCUGCAGUUCUGAUUCAGCCCCUAGUCUGGGACCCUCCAUAUGCCACAGGUGCGGCCCUAAAGAGAAAAUAAAUAAAUAAAUAGACUUGAGUGAAGAAGCUGCAUUCUCACCUAGAUUUGGUUGUAUGGAGACAUUUUUUUGGGGGGGGAACGUCGGCUGAAGAUUCCUUUUGUCUGGGUGUCAUCCACACGUCCUGCUGCCAAUGGGCGCCUCUGCGGAGAAAGUAAUUUUUCCUUGACGUGGGAGAGAUUGUUAAGGUAGAACUCUGUCGUUGGUUUCCUUUGCAGCCUCUCACUUGCGUCUGAGAACAUCUUUUCCUGUGUGACCGGAAGGGACUGACCUUUGCCUUGUGUUGCUAGGAGUGGGCAGGUGAAUCUAGCCAGUUGAGUCCUAGCCCUUCUGUUCCAGAGCGCUUGAGAACAAUGAUGUAUUUUUACUGUUGCUGCCUGGGAACCUCCAUAUGCUACAGGAGCGGCCCUAGAAAAGGCAAAAACAGAAAAAGGUCUCCAUGACGCUUUUGACCUGCAGCAAUUUUGAGAGCCACAGGCUCGGGGAGCGCCCAACUAGCUACUUGGAGACACUAACCCAACUGCAACUUCCCUUAGAUGAGGGUAGGAUUUACUGUUUGACGUUUUUGUGACAGACUCUUUCUCCCUGUUUGCUCCCAUGUGUUAUACGGGAACAAUAUGUAUUUGAAGGUUUUUUUUCCAAGUAUUUUUUAUCAUAAGAGCUUGAGGUUUGUGUUUAACCCAUGGUAAUUGGGGGAAAAUGAGAGUUCAGCAAAAAGAAGAUCAGAGUCAUUUGAGUCCUGUCAUUCAGUCCUAUGUAAAAAAUAAACAGCAAGGUCCUACUGGAUAGCACAGGGGGCUAUAUUCAGGGUUUUAUAACAGACUGAAAGGUAAUCUGCAAAGAAUGUGUAUAAAACUGAAUCGGUGUGCUACACACCUGAAGCCAGCUGUGCUUACUUCAAAAAACGAACUCUGUCAUUCAGGAUGAUAGCUGCUGCUGUUUUUGGGUGUUUAUAUCUUCUUCCAGACUGCUUUUUUUUUUUCUUUUUUCUUUUUUUAGGGCCGCACUUGAGGCACAUGGGGGUUCCUGGACCAGGCGUCGAAUCAUAGCUACAGCUGCCGGCCACAGCCCCGCAGAAUCCGAGCCACAUCUGUGACCUACACCACAGUUCACAGCAAUGCCAGAUCCUUAACCCACUGAGUGAGGCCGGGGAUCGAACCCACAACCUCGUGGUUCUUAGUCGGAUUCAUUUCUGCUGCGCCACAGCAGGAACUCUCAGACUCUUUCUUAGUGAGUAUAAAUGAAUGUGAAAUACAGUCUAAUCAGUGGUGGCUCACAUUUGGGUGUUACUCUUUGCCAGCAUUUUACAUGUAUGCACUCAGGUAAUCACUCAAAAUCCAAUGAUGGGUUUUAUUAUGAAACCUUUCAUACAGAUGAGAAAGCUGAGGCCGCGGCUGGUAAAGACCUUGCUUGAGAGCAUAGAGAUGCGGAGCCAAGCUGAGGCUGGAACCCAGGCGAUCUGUGUCCAUAGCCCGUGCGUUUAGCUCCUCGCCACACUGUCUUUCCAGAGAGUGGGGCGGAACUCUUCGUAGUGAUUUAUAAGCUGCUUUUUUUCGCUUACUAUUUUUAUGAACCCUUGGUGAUGUCGCUAAGCUUACAUCUAUAGCGUUAUUCACCUUGGCUGUGUUGUGAUCUGUCCAUCCUUCAACUGGAAUUCUGAUCUCCUCUGUGGCCAUUUUGAGGAAUAAUAAUAACUAUUAAAAAUGAACAUUGAGGCUCUGAGCCUGGUGCUGUGCUAAGAGCGGAGUGCCUGUUACCUCAUUUGAUCCUCUUAGGGACGAAGGCUUUGUGUAGAAAAACAAGCUAGGGAGGAUCGGGGUAAAUUUUCCGGGUAUUGCCGUGACAUAACACAUCAACUGGAGAUUUUUGACCUCACUUUCACAUAAGGUUACAGAUGUAGUAAUACCUGAGGGUUUGUUAAUUUUUAAAACAACUUGUUGUUUUGAAAGAGUUUGACUCAGAGGAAGCUGUGAAAAUGGUACAGAAAAUUGCUGUGUACCUUUCACCUUGGUUCCCCUAAUGACACCUCCGGUAACCAUUGCAGGCUGUCAAAACCAGGAAAGUGACAUUCCUGUGAGCUCGGGUUCUGUUAUUAAGGAUAAAAUUUUCUUAAAAUAUAAGCACUUAAAAUGCAUCCCACCUGAUAAACCUAGUUCCGUAGAUCUGUGUUAAGUAGAGUCUUGGAGUGGAGAGGGCUUGGGCCCCACUGCUGCCUCAAAGAGGUGAACACUGUUUGAGCUCCAUCAGCAGGUAAGGGUUGGAGGUCAGAGAGGUUAAGUCACUUGCACGAGGUCACACAGCUGUCGAGCUGGGAUUUCAAGCGCUCCGAUUCUCAAAUCUGCACAGAGGCCCCCACCCUCCCCAGCAUCACUUUAGGCUUGUUACUUUGUGUGGUGAGGCUGUGAGUAUAAGUAGGUGUGUGUCAACACACACACAGGAACACACAGCAGACGUGGCCCUACACUCCAGAGCUGGAGCCGGAGAGGACGUGGAGGGCAUUUCUUCCUGCUCCUUGUGGAGUAGGGAGCAUCUGCGUGCCCCGUGUUGCCCCAUCCCCUGGGUCUCCACGGGCUCAGCUUCCUCCUGGAGGCGCCUGGACCGUCAUGGGCCGAGCCUCCUGGCUUUGCCUGCUCUGCCCUGGCUUCUCCCAUCUGCCCACCCCGUGCCUCUCAGCCAGUGGCUGGGACUCCAGGGAAGAGAAAAAGGCACGUGUGUAGGGAAGAUUCCAGAAAUACCAUUUUGCUACAGUCCUGUCAAGUAGGAAGAGAUCGCCCCCCGCCCCAGUCGGGCGCUCUCUGUCACUGCCUUCUCUCCCACUCUCCUGCAGAGCUUGAGCGGCCAGCUCCCCCCACUUAUGUCAUCCCCAGGACAGACACCACACACCCCCAUGCACCUUCCCAACCACAGCCAUGCUGGGAACUGAAGACGUGUAUUUCUGGAAGACGUCAGGGUCCCGACGAGUUGACCCCUAGAUUUGGUGCGUGGAGCUGUCGGAGGGCAGAGCAGGAUUGUCCCAGAUCCCCCCAGCCCCACCCCCUCUUCAGACGUCCUGGAUGUGGCUGCCGCUCUUAGGGGACCUUCAGUCUUGGGUGUCUGUAGGUGGGAAAGAGCGUCUGGUGGCCUGCAGGGACCUCCCGAGCAUUUGGGACCAAGGCCUUGCUUGCUGAAGCUUCUGGCCAUUCUUGGUGGGGAAAGGAUCUGGAGCUGGGGGCCACACCUGGGGGGGCCGGGGGUGGAGAAGAUUCCUUUGUAGGGCUCCGUCUGAGCCAGCUGAGCACCGGGCUGUGAGUUAGGCACUGGU